ACUACCCCUCCCAUUCACAGGCCCCGCAGACCAUCCCCACCCCAUUCCCAGAAAAACCCCGAUGCUUGGUAACUGACAGGCACAGCCCCUUCCUGGCAAGCUACCGCACUCCCAUCCCCGGAGCUGCCCCUGCCUGGCCCACCGACACAGGAGGAACUGAAACACAGCAAGGGCCAUGCUGGGGUUUCUUCAAGCAUGUCAGCCUACGAAGCCGCCACUCUUCUGCCACCAACUGUGGCCCAGCCCGGCCCAGCCCUCCCUGCCCAAGCUGUCUGCACAGGCCUGGGUUCCCAGACGCGACUGUGGAAGAUGGGAGGAAGCGGUCCUGGGACUCCUGCCGGAAAGGCCUGCCUCCAGCUCCACCCCAGUGGGAGGGUGGCCAGGCUGAGACUCUGAGCUCUGUGUGCGGAGAUCUUGAGGUUUCCUCUACUCGCCACCUGGGGACAGGACUGAAAACCCAAAAGCUAGGAUCGCUGGCCUCCUCCACCCCCAGACCCCGGCAGGUUCCUUGGACUUGAAAAGCAGUCAGGUUCCAUGGUUCACACCUGUAAUCCCAGCAAUUUGGGAGGCCGAGACGGGAGGAUGGCUUGCAUGCAGGAGUUCAAGACCAGCUUGGGCAACAUGGCAAAACCUUGUCUCUAUAAAAAAUAAAAAAUUAGCUGAGUGUGGUGGCGUGCACCUGUAGUCCCAGCUACUUGGGAGGCUGAGGUGAGGUGGGAGGAUGACUUGAGCCCAGGAGACGGAAGCUGCAGUCAGCCAUGACCACACCUCUGUACUCUAGCCAGGGCAACAGAGUGAGACCCUGUCUCAAAAACAAAAACGAAAAAUAUAUAUAGAUAAAUGAAAAGAUUAGUAUCCACAAAAGGACAAAUAUUGUUUGAUUCCAUUGAUAUGAGGUAGCUAGAACAGGCAAAUUCAU
rnacentral:lncRNA from 10 species